rnacentral:rRNA from 1 species
UACGGAGGGGGCUAGCGUUGUCCGGAUUUAUUGGGCGUAAAGAGCUCGUAGGCGGCUCGUUGCGUCAACCGUGAAAACCCGGGGCUCAACUCCGGGCCUGCAGUCGAUACGGGCUGGCUUGAGUGCGGUAGGGGAGACUGGAAUUCCUGGUGUAGCGGUGAAAUGCGCAGAUAUCAGGAGGAACACCGGUGGCGAAGGCGGGUCUCUGGGCCGUAACUGACGCUGAGGAGCGAAAGCGUGGGGAGCGAACAGG